rnacentral:rRNA from 1 species
GUACUUUCAGCGGGGAGGAAGGUGUUGUGGUUAAUAACCACUUCUAUUGACGUUACCCGCAGAAGAAGCAGCGGCUAACUCCGGGCCAUCAGCCGCGGAAAUACGGAAGUUGCAAUCGUUAUUCGGAAUUACUGGGCGUAAAGCGCACGCCCGCGGUCUGUCAUUUCGGAUGGGAAAUCCCCGGGCUCAACCUGGGAACUGCAUUCGAAACUGGGUGCUAGAGUCUUGUAGAGGGGGGUAGAAUUCCAGGUGUACCGGUGAACCUUCCUCCCAUCUGGAGGAAUACCGGUGGCCAAGGGCCCCCCCUGUACAAACA